AGGGUCACUACUUACCGAGAUAUGAGGCCCAGAAGUUGGGACCAGAUGCUCGUGUGACAGCAACAUCGAGUCCUAGGGAGCCUUCACUUUCCGAAGCCAUAUGAUUGACAUGCCACUGCUGCUACAAGCUCGUAACAUUCUACAAAUGACACCCAGUAAGACACAGGAAUCGUAAUUGGAAGUUAUCUAAUUAUACAAGAGUUCUGGAUAAGCACAAAAUAUUGGAGAGAAUCUUCCAAAGGAAGUUACUGUUAUUCUAAUGAAGGGUUCUUGGUCAAAAGAAUUAGAUCAAGUCUUCUUAUCCUCAGGUCAAUCCAGGUUUGAUCCAAGGAUGGGAAGCGUAGCCCCAAUUCCUUUAAUCAAGAACCCUUCAACAACAUGAAGGUCUUUGCUGUUGUGUAGUGGGCAACAAUUAUUCAAGUGACUAAAAUACUGACUUUUUUUUGUGCUUUUAUUUAUUCUGAAUGCAGAUAAAUAUUUAAUAUAAACUGUUAAAAAAAUAUAAGGUACAGUAAUGUAUUAUAAAAAAUAAAAAAUAUAAAUUUCA